UACGGGGGGGGCAAGCGUUGUUCGGAAUUACUGGGCGUAAAGGGCUCGUAGGCGGCCAACUAAGUCAGACGUGAAGUCCCUCGGCUUAACCGGGGAACUGCGUCUGAUACUGGAUGGCUUGAGUUUGGGAGAGGGAUGCGGAAUUCCAGGUGUAGCGGUGAAAUGCGUAGAUAUCUGGAGGAACACCGGCGGCGAAGGCGGCAUCCUGGACCAACACUGACGCUGAUGAGCGAAAGCCAGGGGAGCAAACGGG
rnacentral:rRNA from 1 species